CCUACGGGUGGCAGCAGUGAGGAAUAUUGGUCAAUGGCCGGGAGGCUGAACCAGCCAAGUCGCGUGAGGGAAGACGGCCCUACGGGUUGUAAACCUCUUUUGUCAGGGAGCAAGGUGCAGGUCGGGACCUGCUGUGCGAGUACCUGAAGAAAAAGCAUCGGCUAACUCCGUGCCAGCAGCCGCGGUAAUACGGAGGAUGCGAGCGUUAUCCGGAUUUAUUGGGGUUAAAGGGUGCGCAGGCGGAGGCCCAGGUCAGCGGUAAAAUAGCGGGGCUCAACCCCGCUCCGCCGUUGAAACUGUGGCCGUGGAGUGCGCGAAGGGUAGGCGAAAUGGGUGGUGAAGCGGUGAAAGGCAUAGAUAUCACGCAGAACUCCGAUCGCGAAGGCAGCCUACCGGAGCGCAACUGACGCUCAUGCACGAAAGCGUGGGUAUCGAACAGGAUUAGAUACCCUUGUAGUC
rnacentral:rRNA from 1 species